UACAGAGGUCUCAAGCGUUGUUCGGAUUCAUUGGGCGUAAAGGGCGCGUAGGCGGCCUGAUAAGUAGGGGGUGAAAUCCUGUGGCUUAACUGCAGGGCUGCCUCCUAGACUGUUAGGCUCGAGCACGGUAGAGGCAGAUGGAAUUCCCGGUGUAGCGGUGGAAUGCGUAGAGAUCGGGAAGAACAUCGGUGGCGAAGGCGGUCUGCUGGGCCGUUGCUGACGCUGAGGCGCGACAGCGUGGGGAGCAAACAGG
rnacentral:rRNA from 1 species